CCCUUAGAUGUUCUGGGCCGCACGCGUGCUACACUGAUGCAUUCAACGAGUCUAAAACCUGGUCUGAUAGGGCUGGGUAAUCUUUUGAAAGUACAUCGUGAUUGGGAUAGAUGAUUGCAAUUCUUCAUCUUCAACGAGGAAUGCCUAGUAAACGCAAGUCAUCAGCUUGCAUUGAUUACGUCCCUGCCCUUUGUACACACCGCCCGUCGCUCCUACCGAUUGAAUGAUCCGAUGAAUACCAUGGAUUGAGAGUACGAAUAGGUUCGCUUAUUUCUGCUGCUCGAGAAGUGGAGUAAAUCUUAUCAUUUAGAGGAAGGAGAAGUCGUAACA
rnacentral:rRNA from 1 species